CCUACGGGAGACAGCAGUCGAGAAUCAUUCACAAUGGGGGAAACCCUGAUGGUGCGACGCCGCGUGGGGGAAUGAAGGUCUUCGGAUUGUAAACCCCUGUCAUGUGGGAGCAAAUUAAAAAGAUAGUACCACAAGAGGAAGAGACGGCUAACUCUGUGCCAGCAGCCGCGGUAAUACAGAGGUCUCAAGCGUUGUUCGGAAUCACUGGGCGUAAAGCGUGCGUAGGCUGUUUCGUAAGUCGUGUGUGAAAGGCGCGGGCUCAACCCGCGGACGGCACAUGAUACUGCGAGACUAGAGUAAUGGAGGGGGAACCGGAAGUAUCGGUGUAGCAGUGAAAUGCGGAGAUAUCGAGAGGAACACUCGUGGCGAAGGCGGGUUCCUGGACAUUAACUGACGCUGAGGCACGAAGGCCAGGGGAGCGAAAGGGAUUAGAUACCCCAGUAGUC
rnacentral:rRNA from 1 species